rnacentral:rRNA from 1 species
CACAGCGGUGGAGCAUGUUGCUUAAUUCGACGCAACGCGAAGAACCUUACCGGGGCUUGACGUGUACUGGAAGUGCUCAGAGAUGAGUUACGCUCUUCGGAGCUGGUACAUUAGGUGCUGCACGGCUGUCGUCAGCUCGUGCCGUGAGGUGUUGGGUUAAGUCCUCUAACGAGCGCAACCCCUUUCCACAGUUGCCAACAGGUAAUGCUGGGAACUCUGUGGACACUGCCGGUGACAAACCGGAGGAAGGUGGGGAUGACGUCAAGUCAUCGUGGCCCUUACGUCCCGGGCUGCAAACGUGCUACAAUGGCUGGUACAAAGGGAAGCGAGCCCGCGAGGUGGAGCGAAUCCCAGAAAACCUGUCUCAGUCCGGAUUGAAGUCUGCAACUCGACUUCAUGAAGGCGGAAUCGCUAGUAACCGCGAAUCAGCAGGUCGCGGUGAAUACGUUCCCGGGCCUU